GUGUCAGCCGCCGCGGUAAGACGAACCGUGCGAACGUUAUUCGGAAUCACUGGGCUUAAAGCGCGUGUAGGCGGGGCGGAACGUCGGAUGCUGAAAGCCCCCGGCUCAACCGGGGAAGUGGCACCGAUACGACCGCCCUCGAGGGACGUAGGGGGACCUGGAACUUCCGGUGGAGCGGUGAAAUGCGUUGAGAUCGGAAGGAACGCCCGUGGCGAAAGCGAGGUCCUGGACGUUUUCUGACGCUGAGACGCGAAAGCCAGGGGAGCGAACGGGAUUAGAUACCCCGGUAGUCCUGGCCGUAAACGAUGGGCACUGGGUAGGGGGCUCGCCGAUGGGCUCCCUGCCGAAGCGAAAGCGUGAAGUGCCCCGCCUGGGGAGUAUGGUCGCAAGGCUGAA
rnacentral:rRNA from 1 species